rnacentral:rRNA from 1 species
AUUGAACGCUGGCGGCAUGCCUUACACAUGCAAGUCGAACGGCAGCAUGGAGAGCUUGCUCUCUGAUGGCGAGUGGCGAACGGGUGAGUAAUGCAUCGGAACGUACCGUGUAAUGGGGGAUAACGUAGCGAAAGUUACGCUAAUACCGCAUACGACCUGAGGGUGAAAGCAGGGGAUCGCAAGACCUUGCGUUAUACGAGCGGCCGAUGUCAGAUUAGCUAGUUGGUGAGGUAAAGGCUCACCAAGGCGACGAUCUGUAGCGGGCCUGAGAGGAUGAUCCGCCACACUGGGACUGAGACACGGCCCAGACUCCUACGGGAGGCAGCAGUGGGGAAUUUUGGACAAUGGGGGCAACCCUGAUCCAGCCAUGCCGCGUGAGUGAAGAAGGCCUUCGGGUUGUAAAGCUCUUUCGGCCGGGAAGAAAUCGCACAGGCUAAUACUCUGUGUGGAUGACGGUACCGGCAUAAGAAGCACCGGCUAACUACGUGCCAGCCGCCGCUGUAAUAC